UCGAGCGGACAGAUGGGAGCUUGCUCCCUGAUGUUAGCGGCGGACGGGUGAGUAACACGUGGGUAACCUGCCUGUAAGACUGGGAUAACUCCGGGAAACCGGGGCUAAUACCGGAUGGUUGUUUGAACCGCAUGGUUCAAACAUAAAAGGUGGCUUCGGCUACCACUUACAGAUGGACCCGCGGCGCAUUAGCUAGUUGGUGAGGUAACGGCUCACCAAGGCAACGAUGCGUAGCCGACCUGAGAGGGUGAUCGGCCACACUGGGACUGAGACACGGCCCAGACUCCUACGGGAGGCAGCAGUAGGGAAUCUUCCGCAAUGGACGAAAGUCUGACGGAGCAACGCCGCGUGAGUGAUGAAGGUUUUCGGAUCGUAAAGCUCUGUUGUUAGGGAAGAACAAGUACCGUUCGAAUAGGGCGGUACCUUGACGGUACCUAACCAGAAAGCCACGGCUAACUACGUGCCAGCAGCCGCGGUAAUACGUAGGUGGCAAGCGUUGUCCGGAAUUAUUGGGCGUAAAGGGCUCGCAGGCGGUUUCUUAAGUCUGAUGUGAAAGCCCCCGGCUCAACCGGGGAGGGUCAUUGGAAACUGGGGAACUUGACUGC
rnacentral:rRNA from 1 species